UAAUACGAAGGUGGCAAGCGUUAUUCGGAUUUACUGGGCGUACAGGGAGCGUAGGCGGUUCGGUAAGCCCUCUGUGAAAUCUCCAGGCUUAACCUGGAAAAGUCGGAGGGGACUGCUGGGCUAGAGGACGGGAGAGGAGCGCGGAAUUCCCGGUGUAGCGGUGAAAUGCGUAGAGAUCGGGAGGAAGGCCGGUGGCGAAGGCGGCGCUCUGGAACGUUUCUGACGCUGAGGCUCGAAAGCGUGGGGAGCAAACAGGAUUAGAUACCCUGGUAGUCCACGCCUUAAACUAUGAAUACUAAGUGUCGGCGGUUUACCGCCGGUGCCGCAGCUAACGCAUUAAGUAUUCCGCCUGGGAAGUACGGCCGCAAGGUUGAAACUUAAAUGAAUUGACGG
rnacentral:rRNA from 1 species